GAUCUGCCUUGAAUAGUUUCAGCCAUAAAUGUUAUUUACCCAUAUUAAGCUAACCCGGACUCAUGGUACCCAACGAUUUUAAGAUCUUUUGGAAUGAAAAGUAUCACGACACAAAUCUCGCGUUUGCUACCUGUCACCGAAUUAGCAUACAGUGCGAGAGAAAAAAAAUAUUAAAAAAAAAGGAACAAUGGCCAUGCCUAAUUCGAGCAUUGUCAUACAUACAAGAGGUAUCAAGAUAGGGUGUCCAAAAGAAGAAUUAUUAUUUAACGAUGAUGCGAUCCGAGAGCACCCUUUUGAACAGGUGUGACUUUUGAAAUUGGAUUAAUGAUAUUGACUUCACCUGCUGUUUUUAUGGUGGGAACAAAGAAGAUGAAUGUUGGUUUACCUGUACUGCUACCUAUAGACGAUCCCAACAUGGAAACUACAAGCCUUAGUCCAAUGUCUCGAAGGGAAAUACCAACGAUAUUAGAAAACACAAAGAUAUUUAAUAUCCAAAGGUAGUCUUGGACAAAAU